rnacentral:rRNA from 1 species
CCUACGGGGGGCAGCAGUGGGGAAUAUUGGACAAUGGGGGCAACCCUGAUCCAGCAAUGCCGCGUGAGUGAUGAAGGCCUUCGGGUUGUAAAGCUCUUUUGUCAGGGACGAUGAUGACGGUACCUGACGAAUAAGCUCCGGCUAACUUCGUGCCAGCAGCCGCGGUAAUACGAAGGGAGCUAGCGUUGUUCGGAAUUACUGGGCGUAAAGGGCGCGUAGGCGGUCUUAUAAGUUUGGUGUGAAAGCCCUGGGCUUAACCUGGGAACUGCAUUGAAUACUGUAAGACUUGAGACCGAGAGAGGGAAAUGGAAUUGCGAGUGUAGAGGUGAAAUUCGUAGAUAUUCGCAAGAACACCAGUGGCGAAGGCGAUUUCCUGGCUCGGUACUGACGCUAAGGCGCGAAAGCGUGGGGAGCAAACAGGAUUAGAUACCCCUGUAGUC